GGAGAAUUUGUUCGAUAAGUACAAGAAAUUGUCGAUUUCUCAAAUUUAGUUUAGAAAUGUAGUUUUUAAGCGUUUUUGUGCAUUUUGUGCCCAAUUUCCGUGACAAUAUGGACCAGAUGGAGUAAAGACAGCCACAUGAAGGUAAUCUUUUUCUUUAAACAUACUUAAUAGGCGCUUUUUAACCUUUAUUUGAAUUAAUAUACAGACUGACAGACUAAGUCUGUUAUAUGAGUAAUUUUUAAUAUGAUAUACCUGUGUUAUAAUAGAAUUGAUAUUAUAAACGAAAGGAUUUUAGUUAAGUAUUAUUUACAUUAUUUUAUAUGAUGUAAAUAGCGAUAUAUAUUGUUAUAUAAAUCUGUUCAGUGUUGAAUGCUGUUAUAUUUGUCUCUUUGGACUUUGGUUCAUGCAAUAACAACAAUGUCAAAGCUAAUUUUAUAUAAAUUGCAAUAGCAGCAAAUUGCCGUAUCACCUGUAUGCGUUUUUAAAACACCUAUUAAAUCUUCUUUUGAUAGCAUCAGUAAGUUCUGAUGAUAUAUUUAAUGCAUCCUUUUCCCAACUUGAUUUUGAAGAAGGUAUUGUCUACUUAUGUAGUUUAAGUUCCUAAGUCAGCAGACAUUUGAAUACAUCAUGCAUCACAUUUUUGGUGAUCUGAAGCAUUAUAAUAUAGUACAUUUAUGAAUUAAUGACUAAUGAGUAAUAGAAAUGUUGUUAAUUUAUUAUGUUGUUAGAUAGUGAUGUCCCCAUUGCCACUGUAGCAGAUUAUGAGAUGGAAAACUAUGACGAGAUUGAAAAAUCUAGCAGUUUAUCAAGUGGUCUUGAACUGACAAUUGCACCACGAAACUCGGUGGUGCAAUCAGCACACCACCAUAGCCCUAGUAGGGGGCAGUGAAACUUAAUGGGCAAAGUUGUUAAUUUGCAAAGUUUAAUGUGCCUAGCUUGUUUAGACGUUAAGAUGUGGAUGAGUGUAUAAAUAAAGGCCCACAAGAGUAUUAAAUUGCAUAAAUAUUGCCAUACAGCCAUAGCUCUAGAUCUUUUUGAAUGUAAAUACUAGUAGUUUAUAUUAUGAGCAAAAUAAAUAAAAUUCUCAACAUUUUAGGUUAAAUGCUCCAGGGGUUGUUUGCAUAGUAUGUUGAUGAGGUAUAUCUCAUUUAGUCAAGUUAUGUAAAACAUUCAUGAGGAUUUAGGAGCAAGCACAGAGACAACUGGGAUAGGUCUUGUGUUUACACUACAAACCUACACCUGUCCAAGCUGUUUACUGGGACUUACCUUGAGUGACCUGAGAAUGAUUUCAGGUAAAGCAUUUGUGUGUAUAAACAUGUUUGGAUUGUUUAAUCCCAAGACCAAUUUCCAUGGCAACAUGGUAAAUCAUGUGUGUAUAUGUAUGGUACAUGUAUGGUUGUAUUUUUGUGUGUUUAUACACCAUACUUUGCCGGGCUGAUUUUAGAUUUUGCUAACUGUUGACAAAUAUUUUCAGUGAGACC